GACGAACGCUGGCGGCGUGCCUAAUACAUGCAAGUUGAGCGCUGAAGGUUGGUACUUGUACCGACUGGAUGAGCAGCGAACGGGUGAGUAACGCGUGGGGAAUCUGCCUUUGAGCGGGGGACAACAUUUGGAAACGAAUGCUAAUACCGCAUAAAAACUUUAAACACAAGUUUUAAGUUUGAAAGAUGCAAUUGCAUCACUCAAAGAUGAUCCCGCGUUGUAUUAGCUAGUUGGUGAGGUAAAGGCUCACCAAGGCGAUGAUACAUAGCCGACCUGAGAGGGUGAUCGGCCACAUUGGGACUGAGACACGGCCCAAACUCCUACGGGAGGCAGCAGUAGGGAAUCUUCGGCAAUGGACGAAAGUCUGACCGAGCAACGCCGCGUGAGUGAAGAAGGGUGUCGGAUCGUAAAACUCUGUUGGUAGAGAAGAACGUUGGUGAGAGUGGAAAGCUCAUCAAGUGACGGUAACUACCCAGAAAGGGACGGCUAACUACGUG
rnacentral:rRNA from 1 species